GCACGGUCCAUCCUUAGUCCAACAUUACAAUACCUAGUUUACUCUAGCUGUUCCUAAAGAUACCAUGACUAAUAAUCAUAACUUGUUUCAUCUACAAACCUUUCUCAGUAUAGGUACAACACAACUCUAUGUUCUGUCCAGGUUUCUGCUCCUUUCCUAUGAACUACAGUAUAAUAUUUAAUUUAUUUCCAAGAUCACAGUAACAUGAAUAUCAGCAGAUGGCAUAAGUUAUCCCGCAAAAAAAAGCAGAUGGCAUAAGUUGGAAUUGUUGCCAUCAGAGUGCAAGUGUGCCAGCUCGGUACCGUCAAAUAAUCAACCAGCGCCAUUAACGAUCACACAUAAAUCCAAAGGAUGAGCACCCGAUUUUUUUUUUGUGCUAGCACGCAUAGCAUCCAGCAGCUUCCAGUCGGUGUACAGCAACAACAAUUGAUUAAAAAAGCAAUAGCAAGCAACAAAUCCCCACUGAACGCCCAGUGACUUCCCCUUCUACUCUUCGCCAUUCAUCUCGUCCUCACCACCCAGCGCCGUUCCGCCUCGAUCUUCCUCCUCCUCUACCUCACCUUCAAGCGCUGCUCCUCCUCCUCUUCUGCAUCCACCUCACCACCCAGCCACUUCCCGGCUGCCAAAGGUGGCGCGGGAAAUUCUGGCAGCAUCGGUGUGUGUGUUUGCUGUUGCGGCUGGGGCGGCGGCGGCCUGCUCAUCGGCUCACGGGGCCGGAGCGGAGUACCGGUGCAGUGGUGGUGGAGCCCCUCCCGGUGGGUGACUGGGAGCGACGGCGGGCUGCAGGGCUGGCAUGCAGUGGCGGCUCGGUUGCUCGCCAGAUCUGGCGGCCGGCCAGCACGCUCGGGGCUGGUUGGACCUAUGGCGGAGGCGAGGGAGGAGGUCUGGUGGUGCUGCUCGUCUGCCGGUGGCGGAAGGAUUCUGGGCGGCUUAGGUGGAAUCACCAAGUUUUCUCUUCCAUCAGCCCUCUCUCCUUCUUUAGGAUUAUUAGGACUUAGGGUAAGGCGUAGGCGCUGGGACAUUGGCGAGCGGCGGCAUGGUAAGGGUGCGGCGCCCUAGAGGUGGAAGAUGCGAUUGGAUCGUGGGUCAUGCGGCUAGGUAAGCUCGUUUUUUAUGUUCUGUCGCUCGUACGAUUUGGUCAUCUGAGCUGUGCGGGUUGGUUCUCAUCCUCGCUUCUCUCUCUGUUUUUUCACGGAGCCGCCAUCCUCCCAGCAAGGCUAGGACCGGCGGAGGCCGAGCGGCGGACUGAUUUGGUUUGUGGUGGUCGUCGGCUUGCCGGAGAGGGGCGAGGUGGUGACUGUCGACUUGCCGGAGAGGGAGGGGGAGGAGGAGGAGCCGCGGCACGGUCCGUCGGGUGAUGGGGCGCGAUUGUGGCGGUUGAGAGGACAGGAUAAAGAAGGGACGUGCGGCUGGUGUUUUCGCUAGCGAAUCGUUAUUUUACUUAGGUGCGGAUUGCGGGUUGAUUUUAUGUAAACCGAGGGGCUUUUUUGAAAAACUGCCACGACGACGGACGACCGAAACCCUAUUCUCUUUAUUAUUA